UCCUGAUGGUUCAGUUUUGUGAUUCUGCGAAAAGAACCGCAUUUCCUUUUUGACUUAAGAGGGAGAGAGAGGAGGGAGAGGAGCGGAGGCUGGGGGCUGGCGGACUCAUCGAGCUACAAAAUACUCCUGGCUGAAGCAGAAACUACACAAUCCAUCUGAAACCCCACCUGUAAUUCUGCAACUGCUUAUAAAUAAGCGAGCCUGUUCUUCACAGAGUAAUUUUUAGCAGGUCUCCUUGGAGACUUAAGGCCUAUUCAGUCAUUGUGUCUGUGUUGUAUCUGUGUAUCCCAUCUGUCAAAUUUGAUCAAUGAGUCAGUCUCCCCAAAUAUUAACUUCCUACAUCUUCCAUUAGUUAGAAGUAGAGAUCUGAUAGAUGUGCUCCUUAAAGGGAAAGCUGCAGUAGAUGUCCGUGGUGGAGAAAUCAAACAGGAAUCUGCAGCAUCAGAACUUUAGCUCACAACUGAAAUCCUUAUCAUUUUUCAUAAAACUCAUGCUUGAAAUACAGCUACACAACUGAGAGAGAAAGACCUGCAAGUUUGUGACUGGUACCAGCUGUGGAGACACUUCAAUGACUGGGGGUUUCCAUUAUUCACAGGCUGGCACCAUAGACCGGCAAGAGCAUGAAGUUGUGUGCACUUCUGAAGGUCACAAGCAGAGAUGGCAAUAUUUUCUUCUCUGGGAGAUGUAUUUGCAGAGAUUCUUUUUUCCUUUUUAAGAGCAUCAUAAGAGAAACAUGUAGAUGAUAACGAGCAGAUUCUCAACUGUGUCAAAACCUGGAACGCUGCGAUGGAAAUGUGAAGAGCUGCAUAGGUUCAACUUCUUUGAAAAUCUGAUUGUUGAAUAUUUCUAUUCAGCUUUCUCUGCCAACGGGAUAUGAAAUUUUCCAAAUCUGUGCCAAAUUCUGACGUUCACAAGAGUCUCCCAAAUGGAUUUGCAUGAUGUAAUCAAUAACCAUGAAACCCUCUUCCACUCUCCAGAUUACAUCUGGUUGAGAUGAAUUUCUAUAAGGAUAAUAUAAUGAAAAUGUGAAAGACUAUAUUUGUUCGAAAUCUUACUAUGCAGUUGCACUUUGACAUGUAAAGUCCCUAUGGUGACAUGGCAUAAUCUGGAGAAAAUGUAUGUUCACACACGAGGAAUCAAACAGCCAUUUUCUUCUGAGUUAUCCCUGGUGAAUAAACUGGUGGAAAGACAAAGCCAAGUUCUCCGCUCUCAAAAUCAAUGCAGCAAUGCUGAUUUACAUCAGCUGCAGUCCUUGACUAAAGAUUCCAAAGGUGUUAUCAAUUAAUUCCCUGCAUAAUUUACCCAGAAUCACAUUGGAAGUGCAGCCAGCUUCCAACUCAACAAGCUGCCUUUGUAUGGAAAAUCAUUUAAGCGUGUUUGAAAGCAAGCAAAUGGUUAAAUGCAUCUUGCAGCCUUGUGCUCUUGAGCUUCAGAUAUGUGAUGGGUGUUGUUAAACAGGACCUUGGUGGAAGCAUCCACCUGGAGCAUGUGUUCACUCAGGGAGGUGGUCUUUGCACAAUGAAGAGGACUUCAUUUAAUGAUAACAAUGCCUCUAGUUUCUUCUUUUGGCAGAAACCAUAUGAGCCUCUCUCAGAAGAAUUAGAUCACAGCCAGUCCCACCUUAACUACAUAUUUGCUAGCUGAAUAAACAGGAUGAAAUUGGACUGACGGUCAUGUCUGCUGGCAGAUUCAAACACUUUCAGUGCUGUAAGACUGGUUCCAAAGGCUCUGGGUAUGAAACCAGCCUCUCGCAUCCCAGGGUUUGCUCUCUGCCAAAAUUACGUCCCAGCAAAUGUUUUCAGUGCUGCCCUCAGCUUCACUACCAAUAACGCUCAAACCAGAAAGACGAAUCCAUUCACAUUUUAAAUAGCAGUCUCAGCAUUAUUAAUUGCACAAUAAAAAAAGAAUUUGUUCCAAG